GUAAUGAACAAUACACAUCAUCACACAAAUGGGUAUCGAACGGAAAAGCCAAAAAAUGAAGAAGAUCUAGAGGAUCCUUACGCUAAUCUCUCGGAUUUCUACAAAAAUCAUCCGGCAGCACGGAAUGAAGGUAGCGAAAAUCGAAAAAAAAAACUUUGGAAUUUCACUAAUUUUUCAUUUUUUUCAUUUUUUCAGCAUGUUCGUCAGCUUCUAAUGGCGGCUCUAAAAGUGUGAAAAUGGAGCCAAAAGUGGAAAAAAAUGAAGAAUUUGAAGAAUAUAUUGGUGAUCCUGUACGAUUAGAAGAUAUGGAACCAUUUGCAAGACCAUCACUUCGAGAUGAUGCACCACUUUCAUCUAUUUUACAUCCGGAUCUUGAUGGAAUUGAUCCGAG
rnacentral:sRNA from 1 species